rnacentral:rRNA from 1 species
UACGGAGGGUGCAAACGUUGCUCGGAAUCAUUGGGCGUAAAGCGUGUGUAGGCGGCCUGUUAAGUCGGGUGUGAAAGCCCCGGGCUCAACCCGGGAAGUGCAUUCGAUACUGGCAGGCUUGAGUACGGGAGAGGGUCGCGGAAUUCCCGGUGUAGAGGUGAAAUUCGUAGAUAUCGGGAGGAACACCGGUGGCGAAGGCGGCGAUCUGGGUCGAUACUGACGCUGAGGUGCGAAAGCGUGGGGAGCGAACAGG